CACGAGUUCUGCAACAACGUUUUUUGUUGGAGAUGGUGAAGGAAUCGUGACCGGUUCUCCUGCAUGAGAAGAAAAGUCGAGAACAGGACGCUCCCUUCUGUGUCAGCUCCACCUGCUGCGUCAGAAGGAUUUUCUUUAAAACUCGCCUGGUGCCACUUCUUGCAUCUUCUGUUACUGCGCUGACUCCACCCAUCUGGUGCUCCAGAAAAUGUGAUUGGCCACACCUGAAGACCAUGUGACACCUGCAGCUGAUCAGGCCUCGUCGGAGGAGCUACUUGAUAGUGUGGUGGAGCUCUCUCCGACGCUGGAUCAUUGCGUGGCUUCACGAGUAGCGAGAGACGAGAGGGCAGCGAGCAUGGGGUGCUCAUCACGGAGAAGCGGAGACAGGAGCACUAACACUGGGAAGAGGACACGUCACGGGAGUCGGGAGAGCACGGGAUUUAUUGUCAUGUUUUUCCAUCACUGUAAAUAAACGCACUGUUUAUACACAGAGCACCGCGCCUGGGUCC
ensembl:lncRNA